rnacentral:rRNA from 1 species
GAUGAACGCUGGCGGCGUGCCUAAUACAUGCAAGUCGAGCGAACAGAUAAGGAGCUUGCUCCUUUGACGUUAGCGGCGGACGGGUGAGUAACACGUGGGUAACCUACCUAUAAGACUGGAAUAACUCCGGGAAACCGGGGCUAAUGCAGGAUAACAUGUUGAACCGCAUGGUUCUACAGUGAAAGGCGGCUUUGCUGUCACUUAUAGAUGGACCCGCGCCGUAUUAGCUAGUUGGUGAGGUAACGGCUCACCAAGGCAACGAUACGUAGCCGACCUGAGAGGGUGAUCGGCCACACUGGAACUGAGACACGGUCCAGGCUCCUACGGGAGGCAGCAGUAGGGAAUCUUCCGCAAUGGGCGAAAGCCUGACGGAGCAACGCCGCGUGAGUGAUGAAGGUCUUCGGAUCGUAAAACUCUGUUAUUAGGGAAGAACAAAUGCGUAAGUAACUGUGCGCGUCUUGACGGUACCUAAUCAGAAAGCCACGGCUAACUACGUG